GUGCUCAAUUUGGCAGCACAGAUAGUAAAUUGGAAUGAUACAGAGAUUGGCAUGGCCCUUGCACAAGGAAGACACACAAAUUUGUGUUAAUAUUAAAAAACAA